rnacentral:rRNA from 1 species
UACGUAGGGACCAAGCGUUGUUCGGAUUUACUGGGCGUAAAGCGCACGUAGGCGGCUCUUUAAGUCGGGGGUGAAAUCCUGGAGCUCAACUCCAGAACUGCCUUCGAUACUGUAGAGCUUGAGUUCGGGAGAGGUGAGUGGAACUGCGAGUGUAGAGGUGAAAUUCGUAGAUAUUCGCAAGAACACCAGUGGCGAAGGCGGCUCACUGGCCCGAUACUGACGCUGAGGUGCGAAAGCGUGGGGAGCAAACAGG